UCCCAUGUGGUCUAGUGGUUCAGAUUCCUGGUUUUCACCCAGGUAGCCUGGGUUCAAUUCCCAGCAUGUGAA